CUUAGAAACACAAACACACAAAUACAAAUAAACAUAGACAUAGACACAGAUAUAGACACAGGCACACACAUAUAGACUAAGUCACAGACUUAGAAACACAGACACACAAAUACACGUAAACAUAGACAUAGACACAGAUAUAGACACAGACACGUAAACCUAGACAUAGACACAGAUAUAGACACAGACACACACACACAUAGACUAAGUCACAGACUUAGAAACAUGGACACACAAAUACACAUAAACAUAGACAUAGACACAGAUAUAGACACAGGCACACACAUAUAGACUAAGUCACAGACUUAGAAACACAGACACACAAAUACACGUAAACAUAGACAUAGACACAGAUAUAGACACAGACAUACACACACAUACACAAAAUCACAGACUUAGAAACACAAACACACAUAAACAUAGACAUAGACACAGACACACGCACACAUAGACUAAGUCACAGACUUAGAAACACAGGCACACAAAUACACAUAAACCUAGACAUAGACACAGAUAUAGACACAGACACACACACACAUAGACAAAGUCACAGACUUAGAAACACAGA
rnacentral:lncRNA from 10 species